rnacentral:snoRNA from 1 species
UGGAACAAGAUGAAUCAAUAAUAAUCCAACUCUGAAGCCUAUGUGUUGAGUAAACAGAGCUUUUUAACACUGAUUCCAA